GUGUCCUUAAAGCGGGUGUGUUACGCUAACAGUGGAUACGGUGACGAGUGCCACCACUUAGAUCUGGUGACACAAAGCUUGUAUUUAAAAAAAACAACCACUUUUUUCACUGUUAUAUAUUGAAUAGCAGUCAGUGUCCUUAAAGCGGGUGUGUUACGCUAACAGUGCAUACGGUGACAAGUGCCACUAAUUAGAUCCUGUGUCACAAUAGUUUGGAUUUAAAAAAAAAAUAAUAUUUUUUCACUG